CAAGGAGGAGGGGGUUACUGGAGUGGGGGUUAUCGGAGAGGGGCUCAAAAAGAGGAGGGGGUAUUGAUUUAGUUGAAAGUCUGAUAAAGGAUCAGGGUAAGGGUUAAUAUUGGGGUUGGGAUUACAGUCGGGAUUGAGGAAUAUUGGGAUUUAGUAUAAUUACAAAGGUGAUUAUCGAAAAUUGUGGCCGCUGAUUGGUCAAGCGACCUCGGAUUAUUACGCGAUAAUCACCUAAGCGGUUUUUUCAAAAUGGCGGCGAGUUGUUUUGCCAAAGUGACAG
rnacentral:lncRNA from 1 species